rnacentral:rRNA from 1 species
UGUAAGAAUAAAUGGUCGAACAGACCAAAUUUUUUAACUUCUACAUUAAAAAAUAAUCUUAAUCCAACAUCGAGGUCGCAAUCUAUUUUGUCGAUAAGAUCUCUUAAAAAUAAUUACGCUGUUAUCCCUUAAGUAACUUAAUCUUUUAAUCACAAUUUAUGGAUCAAAUUCAAUUAUCUAUGAAAAAAAGUUAUUUAAAUUUUCUUAUCACCCCAAUAAAAUAUUAUAUAAAGCUUUAAAGGGUCUUCUCGUCCUCUAAUAAAAUUUAUGCUUUUUGACAUAAAAAUUAAAUUCUAUAACAAUUAAAAAUAGACAGUUAAUAUUUCAUUCAAUCAUUCAUUCAAGCUUUCAAUUAAAAAACUAUUGAUUAUGCUACCUUUGCACAGUCAAAUUACUGCGGCCUUUUUCAAUGGGCAGAU